ensembl:lncRNA
AGAUUUUUGAGACCUUCUGGAUCUGGCCCCAGAUCGUCCACGACACCCAUGUGACUGAGAGACUAGCAUGUGGGGUGGCAAAAAACACAAAUCGCACAUCUCCAGCUCUUACAUCCAUAGCUCAGGCAAUGGCCGCCCUUGAUUCAGGACUAACCCAGACUAAGAUGGCGAUUGACCUCCUUCUAGCUCCCACCGGCCUAGGCUGUGCAGAAAUGGAAGAGCAGCUGGGAAUGGAAGGCUUUUGCUGUCUUGACUUCAGCGCCAACGCUAUAACUGCUAUCGACAAAGUAAGAAAGGAGGCCAAAGACAUUGCCAAAUCGGUACUAAAGAUUGGAAUAGAUAACAGCAGAGGAGCUGUCUGACAAAAUGAUAAGUGACGUGCAAGAGCAUGUGAAGAAAAGGUGUGUCAUUGAACUCCUCCAUGCAGAAAAACUG